rnacentral:lncRNA from 1 species
UGCCACCGGAGAUGACAUGCCUCUCCCCUAUGCCCUCUUGAUAAUGAAAUUCCUUGAAGCUUCCGGGGUCAAUAUUGCUAAUGGUCCUCUCAAAAAGAGCACCAAAAUUUGGGAAAUUUCGGAGUCUUCCUUUCAUCAUGAUGGUGAUCAUGCUCCCGCUCCUCCUCAAAAUCGACAAGCCCGUCGUGCUCAUCCUCCUCAGGAGCCUGCUCCCGCUCCUCCACAAAAUCGACAAGCCCGUCGUGCUCAUCCUUCUCAGGAGCCUACCCUCCGGACCAUCUCUGACCAAAUCACUCAAUUAACCCGUGAGGUCCAUGGGUAUUUUGAUCACGUGAAUUAUGCCUAUGCUCAGGUGGUGCCAUAUCAAGCGCCUCCCAAUGAUGAUGAAGGGGAUGGGGGUGAUGAAUGAUGAAGUUGUUGUUGAUUUUUGAUGAUGUCAUUUGAUGGUUUUUGGAUUUUGUUUGUUUUGGUUGGUAGUUUUUUUUUUUUUGUGUUUGGAUUCCACCCGUGUAAUUUUAAUAUUUUUCAAUAAAUAAACGUGUGUUUAUUUCUUAUUGUGUGCUUACUUCUUCUCUUAUCUUUAUUUUUGCUAAUGGCAAAAGGGGGAAGAAACGGGAUAUAGGGAUAUCAAGU